rnacentral:rRNA from 1 species
GACGAACGCUGGCGGCGUGCUUAACACAUGCAAGUCGAACGGAAAGGCCCUGCUUGCAGGGUACUCGAGUGGCGAACGGGUGAGUAACACGUGGGUGAUCUGCCCUGCACUUCGGGAUAAGCCUGGGAAACUGGGUCUAAUACCGGAUAGGAGCCAUUUUUAGUGUGAUGGUUGGAAAGUUUUUUCGGUGUAGGAUGGGCUCGCGGCCUAUCAGCUUGUUGGUGGGGUAAUGGCCUACCAAGGCGGCGACGGGUAGCCGGCCUGAGAGGGUGGACGGCCACAUUGGGACUGAGAUACGGCCCAGACUCCUACGGGAGGCAGCAGGGGGGAAUAUUGCACAAUGGGCGCAAGCCUGAUGCAGCGACGCCGCGUGGGGGAUGACGGCCUUCGGGUUGUAAACUCCUUUCGCUAGGGACGAAGCUUUUUGUGACGGUACCUAGAUAAGAAGCACCGGCUAACUACGUG